rnacentral:rRNA from 1 species
AACGAACGCUGGCGGCAUGCCUAACACAUGCAAGUCGAACGAGACCUUCGGGUCUAGUGGCGUACGGGUGCGUAACGCGUGGGAACCUGCCCUUAGGUUCGGAAUAACUCCCCGAAAGGGGUGCUAAUACCGGAUAAUGUCUUCGGACCAAAGAUUUAUCGCCUUUGGAUGGGCCCGCGUUGGAUUAGCCAGUUGGUAGGGUAAAAGCCUACCAAGGCGACGAUCCAUAGCUGGUCUGAGAGGAUGAUCAGCCACACUGGGACUGAGACACGGCCCAGACUCCUACGGGAGGCAGCAGUGGGGAAUAUUGGACAAUGGGCGAAAGCCUGAUCCAGCAAUGCCGCGUGAGUGAUGAAGGCCUUAGGGUUGUAAAGCUCUUUUACCCGGGAUGAUAAUGACAGUACCGGGAGAAUAAGCUCCGGCUAACUCCGUG